UUGCAGCCAGUUAAUCCGACUGUGCUGCUUUCAUCUUGAGCAACUGGUGUGCAAUGGCUGCGAACAGCAGCCUCCUCGGUAGUGGGUACAACCUGUUGUUUGUAUGGAUUGUCCUAAGAGAUCUUAAAGACAACC
ensembl:snoRNA SNORA70 Small nucleolar RNA SNORA70